rnacentral:rRNA from 1 species
CCCUUAGAUGUUCUGGGCUGCACGCGCGCUACACUGACGCACGCAACAGGUGCCUGCUCCGAGAGGACUGGGUAAUCAUUUGAGUGUACGUCGUGAUGGGGAUAGAAUAUUGUAAUUAUUACUCUUCAACGAGGAAUUCCUAGUAAGCGCCAGUCAGCAGCUUGCGCUGAUUACGUCCCUGCCCUUUGUACACACCGCCCGUCGCUCCUACCGAUGGGUGAUCCGGUGAAUGAUUCGGACUUCAGCGGCUCCCCUGGGGUGCGCCGGAGAAAGUUUUGUGAACCUUAUCACUUGGAGGAAGGAGAAGUCGUAACA